UGCAAGUCGAACGGAAGGCGGAUUUAUUCGUCUUUAGUGGCAAACGGGUGAGUAACGCGUGGGAAUCUGCCCUUUGGUGGGGGACAACUAGGGGAAACUCUAGCUAAUACCGCAUAUAAUUGGUAACAAUGAAAGAUUUUAUUGCCAAAGGAUGAGCCCGCGUCAGAUUAGGUAGUUGGUAGGGUAAUGGCCUACCAAGCCUGUGAUCUGUAGCUGAUUUGAGAGAAUGAUCAGCCACACUGGGAUUGAGAUACGGCCCAGACUCCUACGGGAGGCAGCAGUAAGGAAUAUUGGACAAUGGGGGCAACCCUGAUCCAGCAAUGCCGCGUGAAUGAAGAAGGCCUUCGGGUUGUAAAGUUCUUUCGCUUACGAUGAUAAUGACAGUAGUAAGAUAAGAAGGUCCGGCUAACUCUGUGCCAGCAGCCGCGGUGAGACAGAGGGACCUAGCGUUGUUCGGAAUGACUGGGCGUAAAGGGUGCGUAGGUGGUUACUUAAGUAGGGUGUUAAAUCCUUGGGCUCAACCCAAGAAUCGCAUUCUAUACUGGGUGACUGGAGUAUGGGAGAGGAGAUUGGAAUUCCUAGUGUAGAGGUGAAAUUCGUAGAUAUUAGGAGGAACACCAGAGGCGAAGGCGAAUCUCUGGCCCAUUACUGACACUGAGGCACGAAAGCGUGGGGAGCAAACAGGAUUAGAUACCCUGGUAGUCCACGCCCUAAACGAUGAGUGCUAGACGUUGGAAUUUUAUUUUCAGUGUCGCAGCUAACGCGUUAAGCACUCCGCCUGAGGAUUACGGUCGCAAGACUAAAACUUAAAGGAAUUGACGG
rnacentral:rRNA from 1 species